UCUGCCUGAGUCAGUGGACUGCAACACCAGCACUUUCAUCUGCCCUGAGCUCCAUUUCUCCUUCAGCGCCUCUAGGAUUUCUGAGUCACCACAUUCCUUUCUUCUACAUUCUAUUACUGAGAGCAGAGGACAAAGUCUGCACCACAAAGAGGGGGCUGAGUGGAGAAAGGAAAACAAAAUCAGUGAAGUAACUGCCUCCAUGACUCAUUUGUAAAAACCCAAAGGGUUUUGAACAUUCUUUUACCACUUGACUGUUUCUGAGAACUUGAUCGGAGGUUCUGGCAGGGGAGAACAGCUACUCCACCCUUACUGAAG
rnacentral:lncRNA from 1 species